UUGCAUGAAUGGUCUCUUUGGGAGGGAGGGCUCUAGCAUUUGCUGUUGAAAUGUAGUAGCAGCCCUUGUGCUUGGUGCCAAGACUUAGCGGUAGUUCAUCUUGUCUUGCCAGCUGGAGGAUUCGCUGCUGCAGAAGAGACCAAGAACUUCACCUGGGUUCAGGAGACAGAUGUUACUACUUUGUGUUAAUUAGAAAAUAGAAGGAGGAAAAAAAAAAAAAAAGCAAAAGCAAACAAAACCCAGAGCAAACCUGACUCACAUCUUGGCAGAGAGAUGGGAUGUGCAAAAGGAGGGAAUUACUCAGCACAUUAGACAUACUCUACUUUUUACCAGCCAGGAGGAGUUUGUUCUCUAAGAAAACUCCGUCUCUGCCACAGCCAAAUUCAGCCAUUCUGCUGCACCUGGAGGGUGGUGGAGUUGUUGAUUGUUGACUGUGGUUUCCACCUUUGUGUCUUAACUAAUCUUUUAGCCACGCUGGUGCCAUGCCCUCAGAUGCUUUGAAGAUCAGGAGUGAGACUUGAAUAUGGCUUGGCCUCCUGGGAUAGGUGGCACGGGGAGCGGAGGCUCUGGGGAGAGUAACUGCAAGUAGUUCCUAGCCAUGACAACUGCUUCUACCUUCUGAGCCAAAUCCCUCUCUUUGCCUUUUUUCUGGAGACCUCACUGAGCCUUAGAGAAAUAGCAAAAGCCUCCAUGAGAAGGGGGUGGAAGUUCAACCUCUCCCAGACUAUUUAACCUGGUGGAAAAUUCCCGUGUUGCGUGUGCCUGCGUGUCUGAAAUCUGGCCUCUGUGGAUGACCGCAAACUGGCAGGAGCUGAGCAAGAGUAAUGGACCGUGCAAAGCCGGUCCCGUCCAUCAGUGCAGAUUGCAGAGGCUGAGGUGGUUGGCAGCACGGAUUUGUUAUAUUCUCAUCAAAGCUUGUGGGGAGCACGCUAUUGCGCUGGCAAUCUGGUCCCGAACGAAGACUGCCACGAGCAGUUGGAGUGCCCCAUGGAAACUGCUCUGUGCAACCAGCUGGCUGCUCGUGUGCCUCCCGUGGAAGGAGGUGAACUGGAGAAGCAGCUGGGCAAGGGCUGCGUGGAGGAUUGUCGCUGUUUGCGGCCCCUCCUUAUGCUCCUUGUGGGCUGAGGAGAAACAUUCAAAACAAAAACUCAGCGGAAAGGCUGCAUCUUUGUAGCGAGCGUAAAGCCCAGCUUUCCUGAUCACACAGCGUGAACCUGGGGGAUUUGCCCAGAUUGCGCUGCUCUGAUCCUGGGUUUCGCUGUCCUGUGCUGUGUGUAAGGCUCCAAUUUGCUCACAUGUGGUAUGCACACAGCUGUGCACGCCUGUGCUGCCGGAUCAGGCAAUCCAGGACCCCAAAGUUCCCCAUUGCUGCCGGACCGGGCUGUCAGUGCGGCACUACAGCAUCUGCAGGGUUUUCUGUCAGGCCAGGGGGUGCCU